rnacentral:rRNA from 1 species
GGGGAAUUUUGGACAAUGGGCGAAAGCCUGAUCCAGCAAUGCCGCGUGCAGGAUGAAGGCCUUCGGGUUGUAAACUGCUUUUGUACGGAACGAAAAGGCUCUGGCUAAUACCUGGGGCACAUGACGGUACCGUAAGAAUAAGCACCGGCUAACUACGUGCCAGCAGCCGCGGUAAUACGUAGGGUGCGAGCGUUAAUCGGAAUUACUGGGCGUAAAGCGUGCGCAGGCGGUUUUGUAAGACAGAGGUGAAAUCCCCGGGCUCAACCUGGGAACUGCCUUUGUGACUGCAAAGCUGGAGUGCGGCAGAGGGGGAUGGAAUUCCGCGUGUAGCAGUGAAAUGCGUAGAUAUGCGGAGGAACACCGAUGGCGAAGGCAAUCCCCUGGGCCUGCACUGACGCUCAUGCACGAAAGCGUGGGGAGCAAACA